AUCAGAAGGAAAAUGUACCAGAGAGCAAUUCCACCCCAGAUGACUAUAUGCUGGAUUAAGGUAAAAUAACUGAUAGCAAGAGCCAUCUGGCAGUUGGCAACCCAAACAACACAGGUGUACAUGGUUGCUCCAACAACAGGAAAUUCAGCAAUUUUACCGUCUUCUUUAAAGGCUUGAGGAUCUAGUGCUGUUAUGCAGAAGAAGUAGAUUAUCACCG
rnacentral:misc_RNA from 1 species